rnacentral:rRNA from 1 species
UACGUAGGUGGCAAGCGUUGUCCGGAUUUACUGGGCGUAAAGAGCGCGCAGGCGGCCGAGUAAGUCGAAUGUGAAAGCCCCCGGCUCAACUGGGGAACGUCAUUCGAUACUGUUCGGCUCGAAGAUAGGAGAGGGAAGCGGAAUUUCAGGUGUAGUGGUGAAAUGCGUAGAUAUCUGAAGGAACACCAGUGGCGAAGGCGCUUCUGGCCUAUUCUUGACUGCUGAGGCG